GGGACCGACAAGGACACAGGACACAGCGAUGACCGUGACAACCCACAUCCUGGCCCAGACACAGCAGACAGAUAUAGAAGGCAUUUAUUCAUCUAGAACAAACCACCGUCAACAUCACAACAGACAGAGCUCGAGGAGAUUGAUCAAACUUUUCUAUUGUGACUCAAAAUAACCUAAAGCCAGUGUUUCUAGUCUGUCUUCAGAAAAGGAAUCAGUCACGACCCACCAUUUGAGAAACACUGACCUAAGACGGCUGCUGCCAAUCAUUGAGGCUAGCCCACUCCUUCAGAAGCUCUUCGGGGACUUCUGGCUGUACUCUGCUGCAGGGAUGCAAACUGGUGAGGCCCCAAAAAGGCUAGAGUACAUGAGGUGAUGUUCCGGUACUUUGAGGACAAAGCCAUCCAGAAGGACAAAUCAGGUUCGAUGAGGGUGUGAUCUGUGUUGCUGAUAAUCUUCAAUGUCUUCCUCAAAAUUAUGGCUGAAAAGAAAACACACACACAAACGGUAUUGAACAUUAUUUGCCAAUAUCGUAACUGGAACUGGAAAUCCUUCGAGCUGAAGAUUGAGGCCAGCUUUUGUACGCUAGCGUACACUCCUUAACAGUUUCACUGGAUGAAAACACAGCAAGAAAACACAUAGGGAUAUAUAUUGGAAUGUCCACAGUGCAAGGUGUUCUACAUUGGACGGAUAAAGAGACACCUUCAAGACUACUUAGCGGAACACAAGUACGCCAUAAGGGAAGGAAAUGAAGACAACCCCAUGGCAAUGCACUACAAGUCCUUACACCAUGGCAACCCUACAAGCAAUGGGUAUUGAUCAUGUUCCGGCCUCAAUUAUAAAAGGGGACCGUCUUAAACGGCUAAACCAAAGGGAAAGUUUUGAAAUUUACUAACUACAGGCCACUAAGUACCCUAGUUUAAAUGAUGAUAUGGAUUUCUCACCUUUUCUGUAGGGUCGUGAUAGGUCCAUUUGCUGUCAUCUAGUGGACAUUUUGCUCUAUUGCCCUCAGUUAUGUUUAGACUGUUGUUGUCCAUGUUUGCUGUGUUCUAGUGCACUAUGGAAAAUAUUGCUUCCUUUUCUUGGCACUUUGCACAGUCAUAUUUAAUGUUAGAACUACCUUUAUAGGCGUUCUGAUUCUUCUAGCAUGGAGUAAAUUUUUUUUAUAACAUAUUUACAGUAUUUCACUUUUUAAUGUGUAUAGUAUUGCUUAGUAGGUGUUGUCCAAUCAAUUCAGUAACCACUCCCUCUUCUAAUUAGGGCUGAUUGGAAAAAGCUGUUCCAAAGAGGACAAUGUACACUGCUCAAAAAAAUAAAGGGAACACUUAAACCACACAUCCUAGAUCUGAAUGACAGAAAUAAUCUUAUUAAAUACUUUUUUCUUUACAUAGUUGAAUGUGCUGACAACAGAAUCACACAAAAAUAAUCAAUGGAA